GAUGAACGCUGGCGGCGUGCCUAAUACAUGCAAGUCGAGCGAAGCGGGGACGGGUGAGUAAAACGUGGAUAACAUGCUAUAAGACUGGGGUAAAUUAGGGAAACCGGAGCUAAACCGGAAACUUAUAGAUGGAUCGGGGCUGCAUUAGCUAGUUGGUAAGGUAACGGCUUACCAAGGCAACGAUGCAUAGCCGACCUGAGAGGGUGAACGGCCACACUGGAACGGAGACACGGGCCAGACUCCUACGGGAGGCAGCAGUAGGGAAUAUUGCGCAAUGGGCGCAAGCCUGACGGAGCAACGCCGCGUGAAUGAUGAAGGUCUUCGGAUCGUAAAACUCUGUUAUUGGGGAAGCGUUACCUAAUCAGAAAGCCCCGGCUAACUACGUGCCAGCAGCCGCGGUAAUAC
rnacentral:rRNA from 1 species